AACGAACGCUGGCGGCAUGCCUAACACAUGCAAGUCGAACGAGACCUUCGGGUCUAGUGGCGCACGGGUGCGUAACGCGUGGGAACCUGCCCUUAGGUUCGGAAUAACUCCCCGAAAGGGGUGCUAAUACCGGAUAAUGUCUUCGGACCAAAGAUUUAUCGCCUUUGGAUGGGCCCGCGUUGUAUUAGCUUGUUGGUAGGGUAAAAGCCUACCAAGGCUACGAUACAUAGCUGGUCUGAGAGGAUGAUCAGCCACACUGGGACUGAGACACGGCCCAGACUCCUACGGGAGGGAGCAGUGGGGAAUAUUGGAAAAUGGGCGAAAGGCUGAUCCAGCAAUGCCGCGUGAGUGAUGAAGGCCUUAGGGUUGUAAAGCUAUUUUACCCGGGAUGAUAAUGACAGUACCGGGAGAAUAAGCUCCGGCUAACUCCGUG
rnacentral:rRNA from 1 species